rnacentral:lncRNA from 1 species
CUACAUAAAGCUAUCAUACUGCUACAAGGAAAUUUUUCAAGAAAAAGUUUCAAAAGAUCAAACAAGUUUCAAAAGGUAUUUUCUUAUCAUUUCCACUUCUGUUUCCCUUCCAUUAUGUUGCUGUUACUACAAAAAUACAGUUUUGUACCUUUUUUUGUAUUCACUGGUUUAGUUUGUCUUGAGUUCGUAUGAAUCAUACUCAGUUCAGACCUGAGUGUCGAACUGCUCUAAAUCUGGUGCGUGUCGAUUUGGAAUUUCCGUCGAAAUUCCAUUUUGACGGAUGAACUUGUUAGAGUAGGACCGCAAUUCCGUUAGCCUUCAUCCUCCAUUUUUGCACCGUGUUCUGGUUCAAAUGGCUAGAUUAGAAGGAACUUGUGUUCCAUGUGAGGAGAAACGGCCAGGUUCGUGUGGUUCUUGGCCGAUUUCGUGAGAAGGGAGGCCGGAAUCACGGUGAAGAGGUGGAGGAGGACGAAAAUUGGAGAGGCAGCACCCACAUUAAUACAAAUCUUCUCUCUCAAAUUUCGGAAGAAAAAAAGAAAACGAACAAAAAAUCUUCUUUAUCUUUCUCAUGUUUAGG